UCCAGAACAGGCAGAACCAAAUAUGGGUGUGCACUCUCAUUGCACACUUACUGCUGCUAUUUCUUAAUCAUGCAGCAAAACAUAGACAUCUGCAAUAGAUGUGGAAUUUUCAGUGUUUAUUGAUAGUGAAAUUGUACAACAUCUGGGUGGUCGGUUUCCUUGAGUGAAACCAAUUAAAGUGCCUGUGAUAUCCCUCCCACUCUUAUCUCCAUAUCUAACAAGGCCAACCCCCAAAGGUAACGACCGCAACAUUGCAUCACACAGCUUCCUGACUGGCCUCUAAUGCUUGUCCUUGAGGCCUUCGCUUUGAAAUAUUCCUGUAUGUGAUGUAUACGUACGCUGCAAAUGAAUGAGCCCCGGAAACAUUUACUUCACCGUCAGCGCUGAGGAUGACAAUCGAAAGACGAAAACAAACGGUUCGGGUGUGAUUCAAAAUCAACAAACUGUUGCGUUCAGUGAAGUCUGUGCAAGAGGAUGUGCUCCCACUGUAAAUGAGACAACGUGCUGUGAAGCCUCGCAUCAAUUUGGUGUUCAGAAAGAGGCAGACGGGGAGGACAGGUGGAGAGAAAAGGCAGCCAAAGGAAAAGGACGAAUUAAGGGCUGAUCUCCCACCGGAUGCUCUCUGGACAACGUACUUCAGGCUCUGUGGCCCUGAUGUCGCGUGCAACACGGAGCAACAGCACGGAGGUGCCGCGGGAGCUCCCUCUUGCCCGGAUACGCACGCGUUUUGCACACAACAGAGAGAUGUGUAGCAGAAGCAGGAGUGGUCAGUCAGCACUCCGAAGAUGAACCCUUCAGCCUUCACGCUGUCAAUCAGUCAGCCUCAUGCCCGGCCCACACUGUUUGCUGCGAUGAAGACUGAAGAACAGUGUGUUUGCAGCAUGGUGUCGCCCCCGCUGUGCUUGCAACCCACCCCCCCCUUUCCCGAACAGCAAAACAACAAGGCGGGAGAUGUUG